rfam:Schistosoma rodhaini strain Burundi genome assembly, scaffold: SROB_scaffold0018886
AUCCACCUGACGGGUCCCAAACAGAACGAAACGCGCGUCCUGGAU